AGUCCUGGUCUUGGAAGCCACAGCCUUCACUUCCUCUCUAUUCUGUUCAUUUGAGUGAGGUGCUGAGUCCUGCCCACACUCAGCGUUUGGGGUUGAUUCAGGAAGAAAAAGAAAAUACAGAGCAGCGGGCAGAGGAGAUUGAAAGUCGAGUUGGCAGUGGAAGUCUAGACAAUCUUGGUCGUUUUAGAUCAAUGAGCUCCAUUCCCCCCUACCCUGCUUCCUCGCUUGCUAGCUCCUCCCCUCCGGGCAGUGGGCGCUCCACCCCACGAAGGAUCCCUCACAGCCCAGCUCGGGAAGUGGACAGACUGGGCGUCAUGACCCUUUUGCCACCUUCCAGAGAAGAGGUACGAGAUGACAAGACAACCAUAAAGUGUGAAACCUCCCCGCCUUCCUCCCCGAGAGCCCUUCGGUUAGACCGGCUGCACAAAGGGGCGCUGCACACCGUCAGCCACGAGGACAUCAGGGACAUAAGGAACUCCACAGGCUCCCAGGAUGGUCCCGUGAGCAACCCCAGCAGUAGCAACAGUAGCCAGGACUCGCUCCACAAAGCCCCAAAGAAGAAAGGCAUUAAGU
rnacentral:misc_RNA from 1 species